ACGAGUCCCAAAUAGGACGAAACGCUCGUC
rnacentral:hammerhead_ribozyme from 1 species